rnacentral:misc_RNA from 1 species
GAAAUGCGAUAAGUAAUGUGAAUUGCAGAAUUCAGUGAAUCAUCGAAUCUUUGAACGCACCUUGCGCUCCUUGGUAUUCCUCGGAGCAUGCCUGUUUGAGUAUCAUGAAACUCUCAAAGUAAAUCUUUUGUUAAUUCAAUUGGUUUGCUUUGGACUUGGAGGUUUUUUUUGCAGAUUAAUUUCUGCUCCUCUUAAAUAUAUUAGCUGGAUCUCAGUAUAUGCUCGGUUCCACUCGGCGUGAUAAGUAAUCACUCGCUGAGGACACUGUUAAAAAGGUGGCCGGGAAAUACAGAUGAACCGCUUCGAACAGUCCAUUCACUUGGACAAUAUAAGUUUUAAGAUCUGAUCUCAAAUCAGGUAGGACUACCCGCUGAACUUAA